UGUCCUUAGGUCCCCUGCCUGUCCUUAUGCUCUGCUCUAGGUCACAGGGGCCUGACUCUGCUUCUCCAGGGGUCCUGUCUUGGGGCGCUGGGCCAGGCUCGGCCAGUGGAAGGUCCUGUCUGGACACGGGAGGUGGAGAGGAGGGUGCUCCUCACUGUCUCUCCCUGGCAGGGCCACCCUGGGCCUGUCUGUGGCUCUGGCUCGCCCCGAGGUCUCAGGCCAAGCCCCGCCCCACCCACCGCCUGCCGCCACCUGAUGACGAAUGACUUUCUUCGCUGCAGCUCACUGUGGCCAGCAGAAAACAGGAAGCCCGUUUCAGAGCUGUGUUUUGAAGCUGAACUUGCUGCAGACGGAGCCAAGCAAGUUUCCACCCCCUGAAAGCAGACAGGCUCCUGUCCUGUCCUCCGGGACCCGAGACCCGCCAUUACCUGCUAAAUGGAAAAGCGUCUACGACUGCGGCGCCCUCCUGGUUGUUGGAACGAGGCCUGUUGGGAGGACUCUCCAGGGCAAGGGCUCCAGUUUGGGGUGAUCUCCAGGAUGUACCCCACAGGAUGUGGUGGUCUUGGUGACCCAAGGCUUUGAAGUAGAUUCUCGCCCCUGCGGACCACCUGCUCGGACUCAGGAUACGGUGUCCCACCUGCUCAGACCCUAGAUGCGACGUCUGAGUUGCUGGGCUGGUUGCCGCCUUAGCUUCCACGACUGGCUUGCUCGCAUGACACCAAGGAAAGUCCCCGAGCUGUGAUUUUCGUCCUUGAUUCCCAAGACCCAGCCCAGGAAGUCGCUGGUCUCCCCCCGGAGCUCCAGUCUCUGGGGUGGGUGACGGCACCCGGCCAGGAAACAAAGCGUCUUUGAUCUGAACUUGGAUUUAGAGUGUUUCUGAAGCGGGUCCCUAACACUGGCCACCACUCGGGUGUUCCUGGGCCCCUCGGGGGCUACGACCCACCGGAACGGGAACACGUGAGUGCACCUGGAAAGCGGUCCAGCCAGUCCCGUGGUUGAACUUGAACGUGGGGCUGGACCUGUGGUCACUCUUCUCAGGACGCGAUCGAGUUCUUCAAAUAAAUACUGUGAAUCUUCUCUUCGA